CCCCUCUCAAGGUCGUGCCUGGAGAGUUUCUAGUACUCUAUCAGUCUUGAGGAUGGGAAGAAGAGUCAAGAAGAGGCCUAUCCAUUCCAUUCCUAGCUUGGCCAGUGGCUAGAGAGUGGAAGGCAAUCUGCUACAAGU